ensembl:lncRNA
AUGGUCACGUUUGCAUUCCUUUGUUCACUCUUCCUUCCCAUCCCCUGCAUAAAAGGGAAAGUAAAAGUGUGGAGGGAAAUUCCGGUCAUCGGCUUUAAGAGCCACUCCGAGCACGACAAUACAACACUUCAGAGACAAACGUGCACCAUAUUCCAUCUGAAAACGAUGAAAAGGAUUUAUUCUCAGCUGAAAAAGAGCAGGACACCUUUACUGGUGAACCAAACUGGGCCACCAGAGGACCAGGAACUGGCUACCAGCCAUGAUGAUGGCCCACAAACCAUAGUGUGCACCCUCCCGAGGCCACCAGCAGACCUUCCUGGGAACCUCUGCCAGUACCUGCUCGCUGUGCAGGAAACUGUGCGGAAGGACCUGGGCCCCCACCUGAAGAAUCUGGGCUCGAUGGGCGCACAGGUUGAAAGCUAUCACCGUCAGAUAUUCGACUGCUUCAAUCAUCUGCUGCAGAAGAUAAACGACCUUCAGAGUCUCUUCAUCCUCAUGCAGUGGGUCUGCCAAACGUAUCCGAGUCAGGAGAUGUUUGGUCCACUUCUUCUUCAGGACCUUGAUGUAAGAAAGAACGUGGACCUGCUGCUGUUGACAGAGUGGGUCACAAAUGCAAAGAACAAACUGCUUCAUAGAGUAAAGGAGGACUUCAGAGCUUCUGUGGGAAAAAUCCUGGAAAUGGACAGAACACAUGUCGAUGGCAAUAACGAGGAAGCUUGUGUCAGGUUCUAUGUGGACAUUAUCCAGUUGACCGAGGGACUGUCCACGAGCGCAGGCAAUAUCAGCUCCUCACUGGUAUCUGAGGUUCGAGAGAUUUGCUUCCAGGAGCUGCUGAACAUGUUGCUGGGGUACACGGCUGAACAAAUGGAGCUCCUUGAGAAGAAAACAAAAAUAGACGAAAGAGAAAUGACCUAUUUCCUAAAGACCCUGAAAACCUGCAAAGAAAUUAAGCAGCACGUCAGGACCACAACUACGGACGUCACAAGAAGCCUCCUUCAGGACAUCGUGGCGGUGCUGGAACCCAUGGAGGCCUUUACUUUAACCUGUGUGAAGAAAAUGAUGUCAAAGGUUGCAAAGAGCCUCCUGAAGUCCUACUUCACAGGGAAGAACAAACAAUUCUUCUACUUGAUCCACAAAGUGAAGACCUGUUUUCCAAAUGAGAAGUGGUGUCAGGACGUCAUGGAGAUGGUCGUGGUCGAGAUCUACAACAUCGUCGCUCACACGUACCUCACAUACCUCGUCAAAGUCCGUCAGAACAAACUGACCAAUUGCUGGAGUCCAAACAUCGGCCAAACGGUCACAGAAGAUGCUGAGCUUCUUCACGACACCAUCUCAGAGCUGGUUCCCGGUGUCGACCUUUUGAACCCGAUAUUGAAAGUGACAGAGCUGCUGGAGUGUGAUUCUCAUGAUAUGGUGCUUCUAACAAUGGCAACCUUGCUCCAGGAAUUUCCCCUGCUGCGAGAGGACCUGGUUCUGCAGGUGGCACUGCUGCGAUGGAACCGUCUCUCAGCAUGGCAGGCCAGGAAGGUCCUGGAGGCCAUUCCUGGGCGGCGACAAUCCACGUCUGUCUCAUGGUUCCGCUGUCUGGCCUGA